UAUUUGGGUUACCUUGUGUGAUGAGAUUCCCCACAAGAGCAGUUUUCUGACAGCAUCUGGUUCAUUUUCCCUUGCCCAUUGCAGACAGAAUCACCAAUGGAUAUGGAGGUGGACACAGAGCAGCCCGUCCUUCUGACACAACAGCGGCACCAGAACCUCUGCUGGUUCCCUCUGACUCUGGACAGGAGAAUGAAGAGGAAGAAGUGGAGAAGGAACCUGUGGCUGUUGGAGAAGUAAUGCCUGAAGGAAUGAAAGCUUUGCCUAAGGACAUGCCACCCGAGCUGGAGACUCCCAGAAAUCCACCACCUGUGUUCCAUUCCUACCUACAGUCUUGCCUGAACGGGCAUGUGAGGCCCCGAUGGCCUACCAGGCUGCUUCUGCAGGUAAAGUGGCUGCAGGUGAAACAGCUGUCCAGGGAUGGGCUUUGUCAUCAGCUAAACUCAGAGGCAUCAGGAGACCUCCUCUGCUACUAAUCUCCAGUCUCGGUGCUUUUCAAAUGACAACUAAGUAGCAUCCUAGAAUAAUUUGGCUUGGAAGGGACCUUUAAGUGGCAUCUAGUCCAACCCCCCUGCAACGAGCAGGGGCAUCUUCAACUAGAUCGGGUUGCUCAGAGCCUUUCCUCCAAGGAAAGGUCUUCCACCAUCUGGUCCUGUCUGUGGCCCUGGUUUGUACUUUGGGAGGACACUUGGUUGUACCUGGUGGCAAAAGACCCAGAGUAGAAUAAUAGCAGGUCCAGAGGCCUGAAAUGGUGUUGGUGGAGGGGGACCCAAGAAAGCAGUCCCAGCCAAGUGGUCGGAGAAUUGCCUGUGAGAAGGAAGGGGCUGUGUGGAGCUCACUGCUAGCCUCAGAGGGGGCCCAGCUUGUCCCUCCUGCCCCACUUUUUGAGGUUUCUGCCACCCAAGGAGGGACAGCUGAGCGGGCCUUGUCCCAGCCCCAUUUGCUGCCUGGCACAUUCAAGCAGGCCAGAAGUGCUCCAGGGUUCUGGCAGGU